GUGCAGCAGUCGCGAAAACCUCCGCAAUACACGAAAGUGUGACGGGCCAUCCCGAGUGCCGUCCGCUGAGGACGGCUUUUCCCCAGUGUACAUAGCUGGGGGAAUAAGGAGAGGGCAAGCCUGGUGUCAGCCGCCGCGGUAAUACCAGCUCUCCGAGUGGUGGGGACGCUUAUUGGGCCUAAAAGCUAUCCGUAGCCGGCUGGGCAAGUCCUCCGUUAAAAUCCAACGAUUCAAUCGUUGGGCUGCGGGGGAUACUGUCCAGCUU
rnacentral:rRNA from 1 species